UCAUUGGCCACAUCAUGAGACACAAACCACUUAGGACUCUAGAUAACAUUUGAUGGGCAGUCACCUCUAUCACUUUCUAAUCGUCCAUCAAGGAUCGCACUGACGAAAACAAACGUCAAACAAGCAUCAAACUAAAAAAACACCAUGAGAGCCAUCUAACAAAGAAAACAUUUAUCUAAAACUGAGUUUAUGCGGAUACGACGUUGCCAUCCAUCUUCUCUUCCGAAAUUCUUCCUAGGUACAAUCACUUAGUUCUACCUAGUUCCAAUCACUCUAAGAGGGCAGCGACUCAGCGAGUCCCUAUCGGUAAAUAUCUUCUCAUCUCAAGGGAUUCCAACGUCGAAAUGCAUCAUUCAAUCUGAUAUCAAUUGUACAUUUAAUUAUUUCAACGCAUGCCGUACAGAUCAAUGUCGUUUCUUAUUUACAACACAAGUUAACUGCUGUUUUCCGGGCUGUUUUUAGCCAGGUGCAGAAACCAACAAGCAAAGUAUUUAUAUGAAGACAAUAAAAUGUCAAAAUAGCAGUUAAUCACUUGACCCCACAAACUGGGGAGAGGGAUUAAUUAUUCACAUCAUAAACCUUCAUUUAUCCCAGGAUUUUUUUUAAGGCUCAAAAGGACUCGACCACGAGCUGGUACAAGUUAUGUGGUU